CUUUGAAUACGUCUUAUUUUGCCCCAAAAAGGGCGAUUUCACUGAGAUAUUGAUAGAUAUAUAUAGUAAUAUAAUAAAACAGCAUAAAAAUAAUUUUUUGGUAAUUUAAAAAAAAAAGCAAUUUAGUUUAAUUCGACAUCGAAAAUAUUUCAAGGGAGGUAACUCUGACCCACUGACCCGCAAAAGCGAAAAUAUAGAACUUCACAGCAGGGACACAUUUUGAUAAAAUUAAACGAAAUGUGUAGUCUCUGUGCGUCUAUGGAGAAACCUGAAAUGGAAACGGAGUGGGAGAGUACACGUGGUUAUGAGACAACUUUCAGUAGAUUCAAUUAUACUUCAAGCUUGAUGCCGUUAUGUUUUCUGUUUCCAACUGUGACAGAACCUAGAACAGAAAUGAAGUGUGUGACAAUAAUUCAUAGACAAAUUUAGACUAAUACUCUUUCAUGGAUGCUAAAUUCGGUAGAUCUAGCCAUAAAUGUUUUAUUAUAAUUCAAAGUGGUAUAUAGUUAUAUUUAUAAUAAUUCAUUGUUUGAAUUUGUUUUUAUAAAGCACUUUAUUGAACUAAAAUAAUCAUAGCUGCAUUUAGUAAAUUAUUUAGCACACGUGUGACUGCUGUCUCAUGCCUUAAGUGUUUCAGCUGCUAAAAUAUGUUUUGGGGAUAUUUUUUCUGGAUAGAUAUUUACCUUUCUGAUAUUGUACGAGUGUUUGGACAUUCCUUUCAAAGGUGAAAUAUGGCUACUUACAUUGCUUUGUUUUUAAUAAUGAUAUUGAAGGUGUAAAGUAUGUAAAUAUUUUUGUAAGAAAUUGAUUAAACAUAUUGGCCAAUCAUUGGCAUUCGUCGUGUGAUAAGUUUUUACUGGUUUGAGUUAAAAGACUGGUACAUAUGAUAAGUUUUAUUGCAUCUUUUAUUGAAAUCUUCAAGUAUUCAAUAUUAUUAUGAGUCUAG
rnacentral:lncRNA from 1 species